CAAGAGCGUAUGUAAAAGUUGUUGCAGUUAAAAAGCUCGUAGUUGAACCUUGGGUUUGGUUGGCCGGUUCGCUUUUUUGCGAGUACUGGAUUCAACCGAGCCUUUCCUUCUGGCUAACCAGUCGUUUCGGCGGCUGGCGAACCAGGAUUUUUACUUUGAGAAAAUUAGAGUGUUCAAAGCAGGCAUUAGCUUGAAUAUAUUAGCAUGGAAUAAUAGAAUAGGACGUUAUGGUUCUAUUUUGUUGGUUUCUAGGACCAUCGUAAUGAUUAAUAGGGACGGUCGGGGGCAUCAGUAUUCAGUUGUCAGAGGUGAAAUUCUUGGAUUUACCGAAGACUAACUACUGCGAAAGCAUUUGCCAAGGACGUUUUCAUUAA
rnacentral:rRNA from 1 species